rnacentral:rRNA from 1 species
UUGUCCUACGGGGGGCAGCAGUGAGGAAUAUUGGUCAAUGGCCUAGAGGCUGAACCAGCCAAGUCGCGUGAGGGAUGACGGCCCUACGGGUUGUAAACCUCUUUUGUCGGGGAGCAAGACCCGCCACGAGUGGCGGAGCGAGAGUACCCGAAGAAAAAGCAUCGGCUAACUCCGUGCCAGCAGCCGCGGUAAUACGGAGGAUGCGAGCGUUAUCCGGAUUUAUUGGGUUUAAAGGGUGCGUAGGCGGAAUGCCAAGUCAGCGGUAAAAUCGCGGGGCUCAACCUCGCUCCGCCGUUGAAACUGGG